UGAAGAAUGUUCCUGAGCUUCCAGACACUACAGAGCACUCUAGAACUGACCUGUCCCGUGACCUGGCGGCCCUGCACGAGAUCUGUGUGGCACACUCGGACGAGCUCCGGACGCUCAGUAACGAGCGAGGUGUGAUGCAGCACGUUCUUAAGAAGCUUUUGGCUAUUACUGAACUGCUUCAACAAAAACAGAAUCAGUAUUCAGUGUCCAACAACACCAGGUAGCAGCCCCCUGCCGGAACUCUGCAUGGAUCCAGCACGCCCACACGGCGACUCGCACCAGUAUCACUGUCUUCUUGCUCUUGCCAAAAAACAGCACACCCCGUCACGUUCCCAGUGAUGUGUGAACUAUGCAAAAAGAACACAAAGAUCCUGUUGGUGGAUGAUUGUACCAGCAGCUUUUUAAGCUAUAUGUGCAGGACAGUUGCACUUUUUUUUUUUUUUUCCUCUUGGAAACAGUUUUCACGACCUCUGAGCCUUGGUGUACAGUUCACCUUCCGCAAAGAAAAUGCUGUGACUGUGUCUCGAACUUUGAAAAUUAUUUUCAGCACCUCUGAUUUGCCAAAGUUUUGCUGUCUGGCUGGAAAAGAAUUAUCAACUGACAUGAGAGGAAAUGUGUUGACAGCCACAUAUAACUGGAUAACAUUUCUUACUGGUUACAAUAAUUAUGACUUUUGACUGUUUCAACCACUUUAACUUGUAUUUACAGUUUCCAGAAUUUGAUGUUAUGGUAGGAAAAAAAAAAUCUUUGCUGUACACUUUUUAUACCAUGCUGUUUCUCUUGCUGGAAUCAUGUUGAAAGAGAAGAUGCAGAAUGGGUCUUGUCAGCUUUAUUUUCUGAUGUGCCACUGAUUCAGUCUGAAUAGUUCUUCCAUCAAGAACUGUAUAUCCAGAUAAAUCACAAUGCUUUUGUAAAAUGUUUACAACAGUAAAUAAUUUGAAUUCAGUAAAUUUAUUGACCAUUGUAUCAGACAUGCAUGCAUUCAUUAAACCAUUUUAUAAAAUAUGUAUUGGUUGGUCUUUUGUGUACUGUAAGUCUAGCAUAAAUAUUAUUUUUAUAAGUGAAAAACAAGUUUUUAAAAUAAAUCAAGCUGCAGAUCAACUUUAUGGAAA